GUGCGCGGUCCUUGUCGGUCCUUGGUUAAGCGCAUACGGUGUUUCGCGAUGCGAGAUGGUGCGUGAGUGGUAUUUGGCGUGUGCGGUCAGGUUGGAUCCCUGCUCUAGCAGCGACGUCCUGCCAAGCACGCCUCUUCAUUUAAGACGACACAA